AAAAUAAUGAUAAUUUGAUAUUUUUCAUUUCACUGGUUUAAGAUGUUCGACUUUAAGCUGAGAGUUCUGAGUAAUCUUUCUGUUUCAACAACUUUCUGUCUUUUGACUGUUUCUUCCCAUAACUUUCUCAUCUUUACUAGACAAUUAAGACAAGAUCUGAUUUGAGAGCUCAAAUGUCCACUUGUCCUUUUGUUAGGAUGCAUUCCUUCACUUAGAUAUGCAAUUCAAUUUGAUUGCUUAUAGAUAACUUUGUUCAAAAGAGGGAAGAGUACCUUAAAUUUAUACAAACUUCUUUGGAAUACAGCAUAUGUUUAUGUGAUUCUGUGGAAUCUCUAUGUGGUGUUACAUAUUGCUGGCAGAUACACAGAAAUGGAAGCCAGAAGUAACAUCCAGCUCCUGGUACCACUAAUAUUCCUUGGUGUCCUCUGCUCACAAACACAUGAAAUAUAUUCUACAUCGAAGUCAGUGAGCAAAGAAGGGCAAAUUGCGACAAAAAAUGACUUUGAUGAAAAAGAGUUUGUUAAAAGAGGAAAGUGA
rnacentral:lncRNA from 1 species